GUUAAGGUAGCAAAAACUGGUUACCGCAUAAAACUUAAGCUUUUACUCACGGAGGUUCAACUCCUCCUCUUAACA
rnacentral:tRNA from 1 species